AGAGUUUGAUCAUGGCUCAGGACGAACGCUGGCGGCGUGGAUUAGGCAUGCAAGUCGAACGGUAUAAACCUUUCGGGGUUUAGAGAGUGGCGAACGGGUGAGUAACACGUAGGUAAUCUACCCUCAAAACGGGGACAACCCAGGGAAACUUGGGCUAAUACCGGAUGCGUGCAAGCAAUGUUUUGGCUGUUAAUGCUAUUCACGGAAGUGAGUAGUGUUAAUGGUUGAGAGCAUUAUUUGCAUAAAAGGUGGCAUAUGCUGCCGUUUGAGGAUGAGCCUGCGUCCUAUUAGUUAGUUGGUGAGGUAAUGGCUUACCAAGGCGAUGAUAGGUAGGCGGCCUUAACGGGUGGUCGCCCACACUGGGAUUGAGAGACGGCCCAGACUCCUACGGGAGGCAGCAGUCGAGAAUAGUCUACAAUGGACGGAAGUCUGAUAGUGCGACGCCGCGUGAACGAAGAAUCCCUUCGGGGUGUAAAGUUCUUUUAUACGUGAGCAGUGCCCUUUAUAUGAAUAGUAUAGAGGGAGGGAUUUAAGCGUAUGAAUAAGCAACGGCUAACUCCGUGCCAGCAGCCGCGGUAACACGGGGGUUGCAAGCGUUGUCCGGAAUUACUAGGCGUAAAGUGCAGGUAGGCGGAUAGAUAAGUUUAAGGUUAAAGGCUACGGCUUACCCGUAGUAAGGCGUUAGAUACUGUUUAUCUGGAAUGCGGUUGAGGGAGACAGAAUUCCUGGUGUAGCGGUGGAAUGCGCAGAGAUCAGGAGGAAUACCGAAGGCGAAGGCAGUCUUCUAAGCCGAUAUUGACGCUAAACUGCGAAGGUGUGGGGAUCAAACAGGAUUAGAUACCCUGGUAGUCCACACAGUAAACGAUAAUCACUAGGUGUUGGGUUCGUAUAGGACUCGGUGCCGGAGCUAACGCGAUAAGUGAUUCGCCUGGGGAGUACGAUCGCAAGGUUGAAACUCAAAUGAAUUGACGG
rnacentral:rRNA from 2 species